rnacentral:rRNA from 1 species
UACGUAGGGACCAAGCGUUGUUCGGAUUUACUGGGCGUAAAGGGCGCGUAGGCGGCGCGACAAGUCACUUGUGAAAUCUCUGGGCUUAACUCAGAACGGCCAAGUGAAACUGUUGUGCUAGAGUGCAGAAGGGGCAAUCGGAAUUCUCGGUGUAGCGGUGAAAUGCGUAGAUAUCGAGAGGAACACCAGAGGUGAAGACGGGGUUGCUGGGCUGACACUGACGCUGAGGCGCGAAAGCCAGGGGAGCAAACGGGG